rnacentral:sRNA from 1 species
AGCCUAACCCUUAUUUUAAAAAAAUAAGGUAUGGUGAAAGAAACCGUUCAGAGUAUCAAGCUCCUCGUCAGAGCACUCUGAACGGUCGUAUCUGGAAACGGGUAUGGGUGACUUCGGUCAUU